UUUACAGGAAAUGCAUGAUUUGCGUGUCGAGAAUUCUUUUUUCCAUUAUAAUUUGACUACAAUUUAUUUUCUCCACAAUUUCCUCUCAAAUGAAUCUCAUGGAUCGCUUUGCAGGGAAUUUGAGAUCGAAAGUUUCACCAUUAAAUGGAAAAAUGGUUUUCGCUGAAAUAUUGAAAAAGGGACAUAAACGAGGUUCUGAGAGUCGAGGAAAGGUUUUGUGGAAAUCUUCGUCGUUCUAGUGCAGGUACGGAAUUUUUAAUUGCUAUCUCAGGUUUCAAUGGAAACAGAUAUAUUUGGAGUGAUUUUAGUGCUUGACAAAAGCUUGUUCAUUUCAAUGAUGAAUGUGAUAGAAGUUCAAGACUUUUAUGGCAUGUUUGAUCCAGGGAAUCGACUCUCCACAACUCAACAUUAUUAAAGUGUUAUCAAUUGACCUGUUGAGUUGUUUCUCAUUGCAUAUCAAAAAAAUUUCUAACUACUUCGAUGGUUGCAAGGCGGGUGCGGUCAACAGUGACAAUUGUUUCCAUCCUAUGUUCAAUCGGCCAUCCCCUAAAGCAUAAAAUAACGCUGAAUAGUAAUUCAAGGCCUCCAUAAAUCUCCCUAGAAAGCUAACCCCAUGACUUAAGUCUUGUUCAGCAACAGUGAUGAAUUUAGGCUUUGACAAAGUCAACAAUGUCAAUGUUCCUAUACAACUCCCUGUAAUGUCAUACAAGCAAUGGUGCAUUCAAUGCACCCCAAUAGUUUCUCCAAUCCUAGUUUCCCAAUUGACUGAGAUCCUUGUGUUGCCAAUUUUGCCUUCCAAAUGCUAGAAAUGGGAAGGAAUGCUAAGUGCGUAGAUGAACUCUUGUAAAGCUGGCACGUUGAGUUCAAUAGUCUCAUGGAGGGUCUAAUGCUGGUGAUUAGAAUGAACUUGAUUUUUUGCAAUUUGCAGUCGAGGAUAUUGAACAAUCCCAGCCAUUGGAUGCCCUGCACAAUGUCAUGGUCAAUGAUGUGGACAUGAUCAGCAUGUUCAAGGGCCUGUUGAAUGGCUUGACUGGCUGUGAAAUGUGAGAAUUUGAUUAAAAAGGUGACGGAGUUGAAGAUUGGAGGCGUUGAGGAGCUUCUGAUGGUAGGUUUUGAUGAGCGUGGUGAGAGGGGAGUAGGUGUCCGGGUAGGAGCUGGUGAUCUGAGCUGAAAUGGCGUCGAGGAAGUAAGUUGCCAUGUGCUGAGCAGACAAGCCAAACCGAGAUUACACUCGGCUGUCCAGGUCGAGUUGACUGGCAUUGUCCAAGUGUCCAUGGCUACACACUCAGUGGAUUGUAGGAGGAGGCCAAGGAGGCGGAUCUUCCUGUGAUUCUUGUUCCUUCUUAAUGGAGAUUGAAAUUUUGUUUUAUGAUAUGGGUUUUCGAUUUUUAGUAAUUAUGUUAACAAUGGAUACACUCUACGACAUUGAUCGGUGCUCACAUUUAGAACCAAUCAUGACUCAAAAUGGACUAGUUUGACAUUGACUAAAAAUCAAUACAUCUAAGAUUUUUAUGUUACUUUAAA